GAGCUUGCUGAGAUGAGUAUACUGGCGGAUGGGUGAGUAACACGUAGGUAAUCUGCCCUUAGGACAGGGAUAGGAUUGCUAACGCGAUGCUAAUACCUGAUGAAGCAACUGUUGAAUCAGAUGGUUGUUAAAGGCUGGCUUUCAGCUAGCGCCUGAGGAUGAGCCUGCGUCUCAUUAGCUAGUUGGUAGGGUAAUGGCCUACCAAGGCGACGAUGGGUAGCCGGCCUGAGAGGGUGAGCGGCCACACUGGGACUGAGAUACGGGCCAGACUCCUACGGGAGGCAGCAGUGAGGAAUAUUGCGCAAUGGCCGAAAGGUUGACGCAGCGACGCCGCGUGAGGGAUGAAGCUUUUAGGAGUGUAAACCUCUGUUAGGAGGGAAGAAUAAUGGCAAUUCGAACAGGGUUGUCAGAUGACGGUACCUCCAGAGGAAGCCCCGGCUAACUCCGUGCCAGCAGCCGCGGUAAUACGGAGGGAGCUAGCGUUGUCCGGAAUUACUGGGCGUAA
rnacentral:rRNA from 1 species